rnacentral:rRNA from 1 species
UACGUAGGGGGCAAGCGUUAUCCGGAAUUACUGGGCGUAAAGGGCUCGUAGGCGGCCAACUAAGUCGGAUGUGAAAUCCCCAGGCUCAACCUGGGAACUGCAUCCGAUACUGGAUGGCUUGAAUUCGGGAGAGGGAUGCAGAAUUCCAGGUGUAGCGGUGAAAUGCGUAGAUAUCUGGAGGAAUACCGGUGGCGAAGGCGGCAUCCUGGACCGACAUUGACGCUGAGGAGCGAAAGCCAGGGGAGCAAACGGG